UACGGGAGGCAGCAGUGGGGAAUAUUGCACAAUGGGGGAAACCCUGAUGCAGCGACGCCGCGUGAAGGAUGAAGUAUUUCGGUAUGUAAACUUCUAUCAGCAGGGAAGAUGAUGACGGUACCUGACUAAGAAGCCCCGGCUAACUACGUGCCAGCAGCCGCGGUAAU
rnacentral:rRNA from 1 species